UACGGGGGGGGUAAGCGUUGUUCGGAUUUACUGGGCGUAAAGGGAGCGUAGGUGGCAUUCUAAGUCUGAUGUGAAAGCUCUGAGCUUAACUCAGAAAUGGCAUUAGAAACUAGUUUGCUAGAGGAUUGGAGGGGAGAUUGGAAUACUUGGUGUAGCAGUGAAAUGCGUAGAUAUCAAGUGGAACACCAGUGGCGAAGGCGGGUCUCUGGACAGUUCCUGACGCUGAGGCACGAAGGUCAGGGGAGCAAACGGG
rnacentral:rRNA from 1 species